rnacentral:pre_miRNA from 1 species
AGCCAACACAGACUGGCAUGCCCCAGCCACCUCCGGGUGAAUAUCACUCUGAGCAGCUCAUUCUCAAGCUUGACUCGGAGA